UACGUAUGGUGCAAGCGUUAUCCGGAUUUAUUGGGCGUAAAGAGAACGCAGGCGGUCUUUUAAGUCUGAUGUGAAAGCCUUCGGCUUAACCGGAGUAGUGCAUUGGAAACUGGGAGACUUGAGUGCAGAAGAGGAGAGUGGAACUCCAUGUGUAGCGGUGAAAUGCGUAGAUAUAUGGAAGAACACCAGUGGCGAAAGCGGCUCUCUGGUCUGUAACUGACGCUGAGGUUCGAAAGCGUGGGUAGCAAACAGG
rnacentral:rRNA from 1 species